rnacentral:hammerhead_ribozyme from 1 species
AGGCGAAACACCCUAGCAGUUUGGGGUGUCUAUCAAGCGUGGUGGCUUGGUACUGAAGAGCAGCCAAUA